AACGCGAAGAACCUUACCUGGGCUCGAAGCGCAGUGGACCGGGGUAGAAAUAUCCCUUCCCCUUAAAAGGCUGCUGCGGAGGUGCUGCAUGGCUGUCGUCAGCUCGUGUCGUGAGAUGUUGGGUUAAGUCCCGCAACGAGCGCAACCCUUAUCCCUAGUUGCCAUCGGGUCAAGCCGGGCACUCUAGUGAAACUGCCUCGGAUAACGAGGAGGAAGGUGGGGAUGACGUCAAGUCCUCAUGGCCCUUACGGGUAGGGCUACACACGUGCUACAAUGGGCGAUACAGAGGGUCGCGAAGUCGCGAGACGGAGCCAAUCUCAGAAAGUCGCUCGUAGUCCGGAUUGCAGUCUGAAACUCGACUGCAUGAAGCUGGAAUCGCUAGUAAUCGCAAAUCAGAAUGUUGCGGUGAAUACGUUCCCGGGCCUUGUACACACCGCACGA
rnacentral:rRNA from 1 species